rnacentral:rRNA from 1 species
UGAGGAAUAUUGGUCAAUGGGCGCGAGCCUGAACCAGCCAAGUAGCGUGAAGGAUGAAGGUCCUAUGGAUUGUAAACUUCUUUUAUAGCAGAAUAAAGUGACCCACGUGUGGGUUUUUGUAUGUAUGCUAUGAAUAAGGAUCGGCUAACUCCGUGCCAGCAGCCGCGGUAAUACGGAGGAUCCGAGCGUUAUCCGGAUUUAUUGGGUUUAAAGGGUGAGUAGGCGGAAAGAUAAGUCAGCCUGUGAAAGUUUGCGGCUCAACCGUAAAAUUGCAGUUGAUACUGUUUUUCUUGAGUGUACAUAAGGUAGGCGGAAUUCGUGGUGUAGCGGUGAAAUGCUUAGAUAUCACGAAGAACUCCGAUUGCGAAGGCAGCUUACCGGGGUACAACUGACGCUGAUGCACGAAAGUGUGGGUAUCAAACA